rnacentral:lncRNA from 1 species
UAUAGGCUAGUCAUGUGCUAAAAGUGAGAGGAGAGAGGGGGAUUAGAGAGUGAUUACUCUUUUCUCUUAAUUUCUUCAUCUUUAGUGGGUGGAUGAAGGGAGGAGGCUAGUCCUCAUCUUGUAUAGAAGAUGUUCUCGUGAUUUAGCUUUGUUUGUUGUCUCAAAUCGUGCUAAAUCUUUGAUUCCCGAGCGUUUUUCUUUUUCCCUAUUUUCGGAACUAUUUUUGGGGAAUUUUCGUUCAUCAUGUUUGAGCCCGAAUCUCGUGAGAUUGGUUGAAGGGAAAUGUUGCUAGAACCUUGGAGAGCAUCUUUGAUAUGAUCCCCUUUUCAAAUCCCUCACGAAUCCGGCUUGAUUUUGAGUUUUUCCCAAAUCGUGUUCUUGAGUUAGGGUUUCGGUUUUCUCCAAAAUUAGUGAUGAAUUAUUGAGCUUUUCAGGAUUAGUUUCAUGGAUCUAUUUGCCCUUGGGGUAUUGCAUCCUUGUUUCAGAUUUCAUCUCGAUCCGCGAAGUAUAGGAAGAGAUCUUACGAAUUGAAGUUUGGUUCUAGUUCUUGGUGUUCUUCGUUUUCUUUCUGUUCUCCAGGUCGAUCCGACGAACCGGUGGCGGCGCACGCACGGAGCCGCGUGCGAGCCUGGCCAGCAGGCCGAGGGAGCACAGCAGGCCCACAAGCCAGCGGCAGGUCGCAGUCCACCGGGAGGAGCAAGCUGAACCAGCCCACACCGCAACCCAGGCCUGCUGCCACGCACGGCCCAGGAGGAUUCAACCGGCAGGCGGGCCGUGAAGCAGCAGCCUAGCAGGAGCAGAUCAAGGCUAGCAGCCCAUCCGAUCAGCUGUAGGAAGCCAGCUUUUCGACCCAGCUCGUGAAGCUCAGUUUGCAAGCCAGCAGGCCAACAAGUUGCGGCCCAAGCUUCCCUGCAGGCCUAGCACCAGAUUAGCUAGCGUAGCAAAGCAAGUGGUCCACUGUAAGCAAUUCUUUUGUGCGAGUCAUUUAUUUUAAUACAUUGCUAAUUAAUUGUUGUCUGGUUGUUUAGAUAUUUAAUUAGCACCUUCCUUUGCUAAUCCUCGUAUGUUAGAAAAGUAUCUUUAUUUAAUAGUUGCAUGAUCAGAUAAAGUGAGGUUUGCUUGUGGUCAGUAGUGUCUUUGCUUAAUCUCAUUUGCGCAAAGUUGAUGGAGUCGAUUCAUGAUUUGUUUCCGCUGUGAAUUGAAUAUUUCUUAUCGUUCCUAGGGUGAGCCUGUCACGAGUUGACUUGCGUCAUCUUGACGAUACAACGCGCAGUGUGCUUUGGGGUUGCGUUUGGGACAUAGGCCUUGUUCUUGUUAAGAAUUUUUAUAGGCUCCCAUUCACCCCCCCUCUGGUCGCCCUUUCGGUCCUUCACUUCAGCAAUCAGGUAGGUGACCAUUCCCAUUGACGUGGUAAGCAAAUUUUUCACAACGUAGCUUUUACAACUCAGGGUCUGCAAAGGCUGAAGAAUCUUAUUAGGAAGAGGAGGCAUCGAGAGUGAUGGGCUCACUUCCUCUCCUAGUAGUUUUGCGGCAAAUAUGGGAACAGCUGCUGCUUUUCAUUGCGUGCCGUCUGAUGGAGAACCAGAGGCGAGAGGCACCAAGGCUGCUGCAGCAUGAAGAGGCAGAUCCGGAUGAAGAGGAGGACGCUGAGCGCAACGCCUGAUUAGAGCUGGUCAAGAUGUAAAAAGCUCUUUUCCUGGAGAGGAUGAGAGGGAGUCUGAAGUUUGCUACUACUUGUCUAAUACUCUGUAGUUGCUUCCGAGGCGGACUCUUAAUCUGAAAACAUUAGUUUCCUCUCUACGCGAGGUCGUUUGACUAGGUGUUUUUAGCUCGAACCAGGUGAGAUCACUUAGGCGCUCCGUUUUCUCCUCCUACUGUGAUGUAACUAAACUCUGAAAUUUCUGUUCAUGCAAUGGGAAUGG